rnacentral:lncRNA from 1 species
GAAAUUGACCCUUGCACUACAGCAAUGUCUUUGGGCACUGGAGGACAGAGGCAAAUCUACUGUGAAGAUCUUUCCAAGCAGGGAGCCAACCACACCUGGGAGAAGAAGGUGUCCUGGUACCACAGAGUGCUGUGGAUCCUGCUUGAGUGGGGAGGUGCCCAUGGACAGGUCAUCAGUGGAUUUUGGGACUACAAGAGAACAGUUUGUGUUGUCUGCCAUACUGGAUACACUUGGCUAUUUUUCAAGACUUUCUGUGCUUUGACUGGGCUGUGCAUUCACUGUAAAAGCAGUCAAUGCCGCAAUGAGACCACAAGCAAAACUGUGAGUGUCUUAAGCAGAGACCACACAACUCUUGUGAGUAUUUGCAUAUUUUAG